GAUGAACGCUGGCGGCGUGCCUAAUACAUGCAAGUCGAGCGAACAGCUAAGGAGCUUGCUCCUUUCACGUUAGCGGCGGACGGGUGAGUAACACGUGGGUAACCUACCUAUAAGUCUGGAAUAACCCCGGGAAACCGGGUCUAAUGCCGGAUAACAUUUAGAACCGCAUGGUUCUCAAGUGAAAGAUGGUUUUGCUCUCACUUAUCGAUGGACCCGGGCCGUAUUAGCUAGUUGGUAAGGUAACGGCUUACCAAGGCAACGAUACGUAGCCGACCUGAGAGGGUGAUCGGCCACACGGGAAGUGAGACACGGACAAGAGUACUAAGAGAGGCAGCAGAAGGGAAUGGGACGCAGUGGGCGGAAGCAUGACGGAGCGAGGGCGCGUGAGUGGUAGAGGCGUUCGGAGCGUAAAACUGUGUUAUUGGGGAAAAACAAAUGUGUAAGGAGCAGAAGAGGUAGUGACGGUACCUAAUCAGAAAGCAACGGCUAACUACGUG
rnacentral:rRNA from 1 species